rnacentral:rRNA from 1 species
AGUGGCGAACGGGUGAGUAACAUAUCGGAACGUAUCCAAUAAUGGGGGAUAACUAAUCGAAAGGUUGGCUAAUACCGCAUACGCCCUACGGGGGAAAGCAGGGGAUCUUCGGACCUUGCGUUAAUGGAGCGGCUGAUAUCUGAUUAGCUAGUUGGUGAGGUAAAGGCUCACCAAGGCGACGAUCAGUAGCUGGUCUGAGAGGACGACCAGCCACACUGGAACUGAGACACGGUCCAGACUCCUACGGGAGGCAGCAGUGGGGAAUUUUGGGCAAUGGGCGCAAGCCUGAUCCAGCCAUUCCGCGUGAGUGAAGAAGGCCUUCGGGUUGUAAAGCUCUUUCGCAAGGGAAGAAAACUUACUUUCUAAUAAAGAGUGAGGUUGACGGUACCUUGAUAAGAAGCACCGGCUAACUACGUGCCAGCAGCCGCGGUAAUACGUAGGGUGCGAGCGUUAAUCGGAAUUACUGGGCGUAAAGCGUGCGCAGGCGGUUUUGUAAGUCAGAUGUGAAAUCCCCGAGCUCAACUUGGGAACUGCGUUUGAAACUACAAGACUAGAAUAUGUCAGAGGGGGGUAGAAUUCCACGUGUAGCAGUGAAAUGCGUAGAGAUGUGGAGGAAUACCAAUGGCGAAGGCAGCCCCCUGGGAUAAUAUUGACGCUCAUGCACGAAAGCGUGGGGAGCAAACAGGAUUAGAUACCCUGG